UGAAACUCAAAGAAAUUGACGGGGACCCGCACAAGCAGCGGAGCAUGUGGUUUAAUUCGACGCAACGCGAAAAACCUUACCAGGCCUUGACAUUGAGUGAAAGUCCAAGAGAUUGGACCCUCCUUCGGGACACGAAAACAGGUGCUGCAUGGUUGUCGUCAGCUCGUGUCGUGAGAUGUUAGGUUAAGUCCUGCAACGAGCGCAACCCUCAUAUACAGUUGCCAAUAUUAAGUUAGGAACUCUGUAUAGACUGCCGUGGUUAACACGGAGGAAGGUGGGGAUGACGUCAAAUCAUCACGGCCCUUACGGCCUGGGCUACACACGUGCUACAAUGGCUAUUACAAAGAGUUGCAAUACAGUAAUGUGGAGCGAAUCUCAAAAAGAUAGUCUCAGUUCGGACUGUGGGCUGCAACCCGCCCACACGAAGUCGGAGUUGCUAGUAAUCCCGAAUCAGCAUGUCGGGGUGAAUGCGUUCCCGGGUCUUGUACACACCGCCCGUCACGCCAUGGGAGUUGGGAGUGCCCAAAGUCGGUGACCUAACCGUAAGGAAGGAGCCGCCUAAGGUAAUACCAAUGACUGGGGUGAAGUCGUAACAAGGUAGCCGU
rnacentral:rRNA from 1 species